GAACAGAGCUGUUUACAGAGCAACGAUGUCAGAAUGUCAAAGAGGAUAUACUAUCCAGGUUUUUGUUGGAAAGCGACAAGGAUCCAGAGAAAAUGAAUGAUCGUUAUCUGAGAGAUAUUAUUCUGAAUUUUAUGAUUGCUGGUAAAGAUACUAGUGCAAAUACUCUUUCCUGGUUCUUCUAUAUGCUUUGCAAGAACCCUCUAGUCCAGGAAAUAGUUGCACAAGAAGUGAGAAAGGUCACAGGUAGUAGUCAAGAUGAUGAUACUGAAGUUGAAGAUUUCAUGGCAAAAAUAACUGAUACAACACUUGAGCAAAUGCAUUAUCUUCAUGCGACAUUGACAGAGACCCUGAGGCUAUACCCUGCAGUUCCAAUAGAUGGGAGAUGUGCAGAAGUAGACGAUGUUCUUCCUGAUGGGUUUAGGAUGAAAAAGGGAGAUGGAUUGUACUACAUGGCCUAUGCCAUGGGCAGGAUGACUUAUAUUUGGGGAAAGGAUGCUGAGGAUUUUCGGCCAGAAAGAUGGCUCAGCAAUGGGAUUUUCCAACCUGAAUCGCCGUUUAAAUUCGUAGCAUUUCACGCUGGUCCUCGGAUAUGUUUGGGAAAAGAUUUUGCUUACCGACAGAUGAAGAUAGUAUCAAUAGCCCUUCUCCGAUUCUUCCGCUUUAAAUUGGCUGAUGACACCAAAAAAGCAACUUAUAGGACUAUGUUCACACUUCACAUUGAUGGUGGUCUCCAUCUUCGUGCAAUACCGAGGACACGCUUAUAAAUGUUUGAAUAUAUGAAGCAAAUAAUCAUCACAUAAGGUGAACUUUAGCAAAAUGAAAGUCGCACUUAUACUUCUUUAUAUAUACAUGUAUAUAUAUAAAAGAUGAGAAGGGGAUUCGAACUUGGCACUUUGUCUAAAUUGAAAGAUACAUAUAUCACCAUACUUUUUGGGUACUAUUUACUAACAAAAUUGUCUUCUCUUUCUAUACCCAUAUCUUGUCCAACCAAUUAACCAAAUGUUGUCGUGGAAAUUGAAAAGCAGGUAAGUUUGAAUAAGUGAGUAAAUUACUACCCUAUUAUGUUACCGUUUUGCUGCACUUCAGUAGAAUCUUUGCAAAUAGACCAAAGACUAGCAUGGAGUAACAUGGUAUUCGAAAUAAAAUGCACAAAGAGGCACUUGGAGACCUGUUGACAUGCAAAGCAGUGCAACUAAGUUAUUGCCACAGAUAAAUGGUUUAUUUGCUCACAAUAACAGCAGGCUAAAGGAACUGACAUGUAGUCUUAACCCAUCAACAUUCACUACCUUACAACAAUAGGCACAUUGAUAUUGCAGAAGAAACAAUGUCGCUGGACUUUGAAAUAAAUCAACCAGUUUGCCUGUUCUAACUUAAUAUGGAUGACAAUGGAAUUUAUACUCUAUCAAGGACCUAUUUUUCACCAUUUAAUUGACAAAAAAAUUGAAGCACAGCAUACCGCCAAUCACAGUCCUCAAGCAUCACACCCUACAUUAAGAUGUGAUGGUCCUACAAACAUAAAAAGACAUUGACAUAAGAAGCAAUAGGAUCCGACCAAUUACAACAAAUGUGUAGCAGUCACAGUAGGAAGUUGAAGCCCUGGUCUAGAGGUCCAUCCUCUGCGUUUCCUGUAUUCCUCAAUAGCCCGUAACCGAACCCUUUCUUGUGAAGCAUCUGGGGCAUUCUUCAGAACCUGCAGAAAACAGAAACAUCUUAGUCUGAACUACUGUGUUAAUAAUCUAUCAUGUAAAUAUCACGCAACACUUGAGCUACCUUAGGAACAGCAACCAAUUUUGGUGGAGCUUGGACAACAUCUCCAAAUUUUAUCUGUUCACGUCCAGGAAAGUCCAAAUUCUCUUCUGUUUUGGAUUUUUGGCGUUUCUUCUUCUUUGCUUCCAUAUACCUAUAUCAAUUUAAAAUGUAAAUGUGAUCAUCCAGAUGUUCAAAAAGCAUGCCUCAGCUGAGUCUGUGAAAAGGAAGCACUAGAAAGUUUGCAUUCUUUUUGGGUAAUUCAGGCAAGCAAGUGACUAGACAUUCAACUACAUUGGAUCUGAUACAUGAAUCCCCAUAUAACCCAUUCAAACCAGAGCCACAUGCUCCAAUGGACCCCUCAAAAGUGCUCUAAUUCGCUAUUAAAUUCUAUAAGACUUGUGCCCAUAGGUUUACGGUUUCAGCAGAUGGCAAUUGUAGAUACCAAAUGAAAUCAUAAUAAACAACCAAAUAUUACUGCAAAAUUCUGGGCAACUAUUAGAGACAAACAAGAUAUAAAAAUCAGGUCCAGGCAUAGCAUUCACAAAAAGAAGACAUCAUAAAAUACUUAUGAAAAAAUACCAUUGGAAGUUACGAACGAUAAGCUCAAUCUCACUGUAGAAAGAUGACCUUUUCAAACCUCUUGUAGUUGGUAAUUGGCAGAAAAUUGUGAUGUCCCUUUUAUCUUAAGGACAUUAUAAAUACAAAGACAGGGAAAGUAAAUUCUGAUAAAAAAGAGCAAUUCUGAUAAGAAAGAGCUCCACCCAUCUAUGAUAAGAUCCCAUUAAAUGCAAAGGUUCUUAAUUGAUCGAUCUAUAGUGAAGACUUCAAUGCCAAUAAGUGCCACAACAUUUUAAUGCUUCAUACUAGGAAUUAGCAGAGCAACAUCACUAUUAUCUGUGGGGAUUGGGAAAUCCCUGUUUCUAGCUUCUUCUUCAUCCAAUUUUCCAAUCCAGAGGAGACAUUUUAGAUACACAUGGGUUCAAGUGUAGUGGAGAGAUUUUUACUCACUAAUAAUAGAUUCUAUGCAAUUGAUGAAAGGGCAAUCUAUCGCAUAAGAAAUUUACAUCUCAUCUUAGAUGCUUACUUUUUCUUGCGCUCCCGCCUUUUCUCACUGGUUUUUGUCUUCUCCAUUUCAAACCGAAGAUCAUCGACUUGCUUUCUCUCUCUCUUUUUCUUUCUCUUUUCAUCCUUGCUAUCAAGAACAAUCUCAUCACCAUCAUCUGUAGGUUCAGGCGUUAAAAGUUUCCCAUCGUCACCUUCAUCCACGGUAGCUUCUGAGGUAAUUGCAUCCUCUAGAGGGAAUUUCUAGACAUAUCAUACUUGUUAUUCAUCAUCAAAAAGUUCAAUCCAAAUUCUUUCAUUCAGUGAAACGCCUAACGCAGCCUAGAGAGACUCUGAACAGUCUUACAAACAUUAAAGCCUGACUGAAUCUCUCAUUGACGAAGCAAAAUACAAGGAAUUAGCGCUUACAUUUUCUGCAUAACCGCCUCCCCGUUUCCUCUUCUCUUUAGCAGAACCUAAAACAAAAAACAAAUCGGCAUAAAACACAGUUUCUGCGCAUAUAUAAAGAUAAAAGGGACGGAAAGAGGGAGAGAACCAUCAAGAAGAUGAGAAGUGAAGGACAUGAUCUGGCGAAGUUUGGAGGGAAGAGCGUCGACUUGGGAGGGGUUGGGUGGCGGCGGAAGACGGGUGUGGCCUCCAUGCGCCGCCAAGUAGUUCUUCUCUCUCCUUUUUCUUCCUUUCCUUCCCAUCUGCACUCCGUUAGUCUGUUUCUUCUGCUAACCCUACUCUCG
rnacentral:misc_RNA from 1 species